CUAUCACUUGAUCUUCGGGAGUGAGGGCAUGGGUGCUAAGGUCCAUGUCCGAAAGAGGAACAACUCAGACCACCAGCUAAGGUCCCGAAAUAAGGGCUAAGUUGAACAAACGAAGUAAAACUGCAAAGACAGCUAGGAUGUUGGCUUGGAAGCAGCCAUUCAUUUAAAGAGUGCGUAACAGCUCACUAGUCGAGGAGUUUUGCAUGGAUAAUAAUCGGGCAUAAGCCCUUUACCGAAGCUGUGGAUGUCGUAAGACAUGGUAGGGGAGCAUUCCGGCGGCGACGAAGGCCGUCCUCGAGGACGACUGGAGCUUUCGGAAAAGCAAAUGUAGGUAUAAGUAACGAUAAAGGGGGCGUGAAACCCCCUCGCCAUAAGACUAAGGAUUCCUGAUCAACGCUAAUCGGAUCAGGGUAAGUCGGGCCCUAAGGCGCAGCCGAACGGCGUAGCCGAUGGAAGAAACGGUAAAGAUUCCGUUACUGGAUAUAGGAGCGAUGUGGAGACGGAGAAGUGACACACCCGCCUGCCGACGGAAGCGCAGGUUAAAGGAAGUAGGUAAACGCCGGGUAGGCAAAUCCGCCUGGCGUGCCGAAGCUGACAGUAUCGAGAGUCCCCCGGGCAAUCGAAUAGCGGUGGUAAUCAGGCUCCCAAGAAAAUCCGCUAAGCAAAUUCUAUAUCCACCCGUACCCCAAACGGACACACGUAGUCGGGUAGAAUAUACCAAGGCGCUCGAAAGACUCACGGUUAAGGAACUAGGCAAAUUGACCCUGUAACCUCGGGAAAAAGGGUCCCCAGUAAGAUGGGGCGCAGAGAAUAGGUCCAGGCAACUGUUUAACAAAAACACAGGGCUGUGCAAAAUUUCAAGAUGAAGUAUACAGCCUGACACCUGCCCGGUGCCGGAAGGUUAAGAGGAGAGCUAAUCGCAAGAGAAGGCUUGAAUUGAAGCCCCGGUAAACGGCGGCCGUAACUAUAACGGUCCUAAGGUAGCGAAAUUCCUUGUCGGGUAAGUUCCGACCUGCACGAAUGGUGUAAUGAUCUGGACACUGUCUCAACCGUGACUUCGGUGAAAUUGUAGUAUCGGUGAAGAUGCCGAUUACCCGCAACGGGACGAAAAGACCCCGUGAACCUUUACUGCAACUUAGCAUUGCGUUUGGGCAUUUGAUGUGUAGGAUAGUCCGGAGGCUACGAGCCGGCGACGCCAGUCGUCGGGGAGCCGCUGUUGAAAUACGGACCUUCGAAUGUUUGAGCGCUAACUCGCAGGAGCGAGGACACUGUUUGGUGGGUAGUUUGACUGGGGUGGUCGCC
rnacentral:rRNA from 1 species